GAGAGAGAGUUCAAGAGUACGUGAAACCGUUCGGGGGUAAACGGGAGAAAUCCUGAAUUCGAAAGGUCGUUGAGGAUUCAUGUCUCUCCGAUCGUCAGGCCGCAUGGCCUCGCCAGAUGGCGUCGGUCGCCUGCGGCGAUUCACUUCGUCCGCGGUGUCGUUCCCGGCGUUCACUCGGCUGAGGUGGUGGAUCUCUGGCUUCGGAGGGCUGCACUUCCUCCCUUGUAGAAACGUCGCGACCCGUUGGGUGUCGGUCUCAAGGCCCGGGAUGGCAGACCGUGCGCCUUGCGAUGGCAAAUCGCUGGCCACGGACUCCUGGUGACCCGGCCGACUGCCCGACGGUAUGACCAGAGGGGUCGAUCCGCUAAAAAUGCAAAACACUUUGGAUGUGAAGCGUCCGGCCCAAGAAUACGAGGUGCGCAGGGAAAGUGGUUGGAAAAUCGGGGUCGCCGUGCGACGCACGGUCCCGUCCCUGACGUGUCCUCGAGCUGGUGUCCUCGGACCGGAUCUAGACCCCCGUCUGCGACGCCCUCCUUCGGAUGGUCUCC
rnacentral:rRNA from 1 species